ensembl:lncRNA
UUUCCUGUUUAGUCAGGGCAGUCGUGGCCUAAUGGAGUCGGAUUUGUAACCCGAAGGUCACAGGUUCCAGUCUCAGGUCUGGCAGGGAUUGUAGGUGCCAAAUAUCCAGCGCUCUCUCCACCUUCAAUACCACGACUGAGACUGCAAAAUAGGACAAUAUCAGCCAAUGCAUCUUCAGCUGCAGGUUCAACAAAUGGGUUUCAAUAAUGAGUUACUGGUUUCAGCUCAGCUUCUCCCAAACACCUUUAUCUUCCCAUUUUUUACUUGCCAUCACGAGCCCUCUCUCCUUCGCGUCAGUUUUGGUUUAUUAUAAACACUUUUUCUUUGAUGAUGAACCAACCACGCUGAUGGCUGUCAAAUGGACGGCCAUUCUGGUCUUCUCCAGAAUGCCCCUGACCACAAACUACAGUGAUGACUUAAUUAACUUCAGCUCGAUGCUCCGGAUGAACAAGGCCAUAAACAGUGGGCGGAGUCAGCGUCACAGCGGAACUCACUCAAUUGGACAAAUUACACCC